GCGGGCAUAUACACCUUGUGAACUGUUGUAGGAUGAUUUUUUGUAAAAGAUAUUAUGUAUGGAGAAUAACAUAAAAGGUAUCAAAAGCCCUCUCCCUUUUCCAAAGUCUGAUAUUUGUUUCCUUUCUGUUAAAUUCAAUUAUAUUCGUGUUUCUGGCCUACGACCACAAUUAUUCUUUUCCUUUGCUACACUGCUUCUUUUGGUAAAAGUCAAAUCAAAUUAAAAAUUUGCACCGUUUCAAACAUGAAAUAAAUGUAACUGCUUAUAUAUAGACCAUUAUUAGUCUAAAAAAUAUGCUUCUAUGACAAUCCAUCAGUGAUUUUUUUUUUUGAGAGCCUUAUUAACA
rnacentral:lncRNA from 1 species